rnacentral:rRNA from 1 species
AUGUACCUCGCGAAGAAGCCCGACAAGGCCGACCCCAACGAGGCCCGCCUCUCCCGCUUCACCUGCUGCGCGCUCUCGGGGGAGCCCCUUGCCGCGCCCGCCGUCGUGGAUCGCCUCGGCAACCUGUUCAACAAGGAGGCCCUCGUCGAGGCGCUCAUCCACAAGCGCCUGCCCAAGGCGCUCUCGCACAUCCGUGGGCUCAAGGACAUGAUCCCCAUCCACCUGCACCCCAAGCCCAACGCGGCGGACCAGGAGGUCCGUUUCCAGUGCCCAGUCACUGGGUUCGAGCUCAACGGCAAGUCCCAGUUCCUCGCGCUCCGUGGAUGCGGCCACGUUCUGAGCGUGAAGGCUCUCAAGGAGGUGAAGUCGUCCUCGUGUUUGGUCUGCCAUAAGGAGUUCGAUGAGGCGGACAAGAUGCCCAUCAAUGGGACCGAGGAGGAGGUGGAAGUGUUGAGGCAGAGGAUGGAGGAGGAGAGAGGGAAGCUCAAGGAGAAGAAGGAUAAGAAGCUGGCGAAUGGGCUCAGUGGGAGUAAGCAUGCUGUUGCUGCGGUUGCAGAUGCUGAGAAGUUGGAGAAUGGGAAGAAAGGGGAGGCUGCCCCAGCAAAGCGGUUUAAGGCCGCAGAUCAUGCACCGGCUCAUGCAAACAAGAAAGUGUAUGCGUCAAUUUUCACUUCUUCCAAUAAGUCUGAUUUCAGGGAGACAUACUCAUGCCGGUCACUCCCCCUGGGAAGGAAUUAA